UACUCGGCUCGUCUGAGGCUGCCGAACAAGAUGCCGUGGUCGGACAAGCGAGCUCUGGUGGAGAGCACAAUAGUAGCCAUGGGGCUUCAGGAUUGUGCCGACACGGUGAUCGGAAGCUGGCAUCUCACCCUCUUCGAGCCAAGAAAGACCCGUUAGAUGAUAGUCACUGAAGGUCUAGAGGAAAGCGCAAUCAAAUGGGUGAAGCGGGAUUUUUUUUCAUCAUCGCUGAUUCUCUCCAGAUAUCAAAUAUGGAAGAAUUCCCACAAAGGUGGUGAGAGUGGAAACUAUGUGUCAACAAAUCUUUAGAAGAAGACAAUGGAGACCAGGAUUAACAAAAGACACUGGUCAGUUUCAUUUUCCUACACAUCUCUACACAUCAUUGUGAUCCCUUAU